rnacentral:rRNA from 1 species
CAGGAUUAGAUACCCUGGUAGUCCACGCCGUAAACGAUGUCUACUUGGAGGUUGUGCCCUUGAGGCGUGGCUUCCGGAGCUAACGCGUUAAGUAGACCGCCUGGGGAGUACGGCCGCAAGGUUAAAACUCAAAUGAAUUGACGGGGGCCCGCACAAGCGGUGGAGCAUGUGGUUUAAUUCGAUGCAACGCGAAGAACCUUACCUGGUCUUGACAUCCACAGAACUUUCCAGAGAUGGAUUGGUGCCUUCGGGAACUGUGAGACAGGUGCUGCAUGGCUGUCGUCAGCUCGUGUUGUGAAAUGUUGGGUUAAGUCCCGCAACGAGCGCAACCCUUAUCCUUUGUUGCCAGCGGUCCGGCCGGGAACUCAAAGGAGACUGCCAGUGAUAAACUGGAGGAAGGUGGGGAUGACGUCAAGUCAUCAUGGCCCUUACGACCAGGGCUACACACGU